GAAGCCACCUGGCAGGGGAGAUACCAUGAUUACGAAAGUAGUUUUUCCAGGGCCAGUCUUAUCCAUUGCAUUCCAGAUGUGCUGAUCCCUGCGAUUUCGCCAAAUGUGGGAAACUUGACUGCAUAAUUUGUGGUAGUGGGGGACUGCAUUCACGCUUUUCCCUG
ensembl:snRNA U1 U1 spliceosomal RNA